AUGACCCAGGGCUACGGUCUGCCGCACAUCGCCCUCUACUUCUCCAAGACGAUGUGGUCCGAGGGCUACUCCUUGACCCCGGCCAACCUCCGCCCCGAACUCCGCAAGAUCUGGCCCGACGGUGGCCACGACUACAGCCACUUCUGCGGCGUGAUGGAGGAGUUCCACAAGGAGAAGCGCGCGCUGGCUAACAAGCUGAUGCAGCUGUUCCUCGUAGCGCUCGGGUUCCCCGCCACGCAGAUCGCCGGCGUCGAGGCGGAGCACAAACUCACCGAGACCAUGACCGAGACAAUACACCUCAACAGGUACAUAGUACUGCCUAUCCGUUUGAGCACCUAA
rnacentral:rRNA from 1 species